GGGUCUGUACGACUAACUGGUAACACGACCGCACUCAUUGGCUCAGCCUCCCAUUUGAAGAGGGACGGAACCAUCUGUGUGGCACAGGAUCUGUUUCCAGGAGAUAACGGCCUUUUUUUAAUUUCACAAAUGCUGCGCAGACAGAGAGCGACAGGGCGACGGAGAGAGAGAGAAUGGAGUGAGUCUUCUAUACCAAAACCUCGGCCUGAACACAGAACGUCCCCCAGACGUCCAGAGAGGACUGCCGUGGAGAGGAGGCCUUAAUAGCUUCAGUGUGUUGUUUACUCCCCGGCCUGUGAUAACGGCCUGGACACAGGGCAGACGAAAGAGGGAGGGAUUCAUUAUAUCAGGUGGCGGUGGCAAUAUGAACUUCCCAUUUUCCCCUGUCCGCCUGUCCGUUUGACUUGAUUACAACAGAGCCCAGCGCUACUGUAGAUUAGCCCAGCUGUUUCCUGUGUCCGACUCCGACGUGAACACACUUCCUACCACGACCAGGAGCGGCAACGAGAUAAGGUAAUUGGAAGAUUUCACCUGCUCCACAUGCAUCUAAAGAAGAAAACAGAAGUUAAUUCCGGUGGAUGCAAAACAGCGUUAUGAGCAGCAUUGAAUAAACGAAGACACCCCGUCCUUGCACCUGUGGUAUAGAUGGGAGGUGAAUAAACCCUGGGCAAGUUGGGGGUCAUAAUGAAUGUGCCUGCCUUUUUACGAGAGCCGCCUGGUGAUGAAGUGGGAGCCGGGCUGAGCGAUGGGAUGGGAUGGCCGGCGUUUCGGAAGGAGAAAAGGGGAGAUGCCCACUCAGCGGUGAUGGAGGUGAUGGAGGUAUAAUGUGCGAUAAUAUCACAACAAGCACCCUUCACCCACCAGGAAUUGGUCAAGUGUCUAAUUGCUUCGCUACACAAAAGGUUUGACACUGCUGCUGUGUCACACAAAAGGCAGAGGGGGUCUAUUCUGAGGCACCGUGGAGUUCAGGUCGAGGCGAAGCGUCUAAAUUUAUCCCUUCACACCCGUUUACCUCCUUUCAGUGCAGGUGGACGCCGGGUUCACAGACACCAAAGAUUUUGUGUCAUCACCUUGGUCUCAAUCAUCACUCUGAUGUGCCGCACAGGCUGAUGGAGCAAACAGCACACACACCCUAUCUCUCUCUACCUCUCUCUCUCUCUCUCUCUUUCUCUCUCUACCUCUCUCUUUCUCUCUCUCUCUCUCUCAUCCCUCCACCUCAGCUCUCAAACCACAACUCAGAAAAAGUAAAUGAAAAGAGAUAAUAAACAAUAAGAACAUAACAAUGCUUCGGCUGUAGUUUCCAGUGCUGUCCACAUGCCUCCGUUUCUAUAUCUAUUAAGCGCAACAUUUACUUAAUUAGAAAUGU